rnacentral:tRNA from 1 species
GCUCAGGUGGUGAAAUUGGUAGACACGCUGUCUUCAGGCGGCAGUAUCAGUGAUGUAGGGGUUCGAAUCCCCUCCUGAGCACCA